rnacentral:rRNA from 1 species
AGCAGUAGCCGCGGGAAUACGUAUGUCACAAGCGUUAUCCGGAUUUAUUGGGCGUAAAGCGCGUCUAGGUGGUUAUGUAAGUCUGAUGUGAAAAUGCAGGGCUCAACUCUGUAUUGCGUUGGAAACUGUGUAACUAGAGUACUGGAGAGGUAAGCGGAACUACAAGUGUAGAGGUGAAAUUCGUAGAUAUUUGUAGGAAUGCCGAUGGGGAAGCCAGCUUACUGGACAGAUACUGACGCUAAAGCGCGAAAGCGUGGGUAGCAAACAGGAUUAGAUACCCGCGUAGUCCCUGUCUCUUAUACA